rnacentral:rRNA from 1 species
GAUGAACGCUGGCGGCGUGCUUAACACAUGCAAGUCGAACGAUGAUGCCCAGCUUGCUGGGUGGAUUAGUGGCGAACGGGUGAGUAACACGUGAGUAACCUGCCCUUGACUCUGGGAUAAGCCUGGGAAACUGGGUCUAAUACCGGAUACGACCAUCUGGCGCAUGUCAUGGUGGUGGAAAGCUUUUGUGGUUUUGGAUGGACUCGCGGCCUAUCAGCUUGUUGGUGGGGUAAUGGCCUACCAAGGCGACGACGGGUAGCCGGCCUGAGAGGGUGACCGGCCACACUGGGACUGAGACACGGCCCAGACUCCUACGGGAGGCAGCAGUGGGGAAUAUUGCACAAUGGGCGCAAGCCUGAUGCAGCGACGCCGCGUGAGGGAUGACGGCCUUCGGGUUGUAAACCUCUUUCAGUAGGGAAGAAGCGAAGGUGACGGUACCUGCAGAAGAAGCGCCGGCUAACUACGUG